rnacentral:tRNA from 3 species
CGGAGCCGGCCAGCAGGGCGUCCACACCGUCGUCGCCGAUGUGCAGGCCGUGGUCGGCGGCCCGUUCGAGGCCGGGGCUCCGC